rnacentral:rRNA from 1 species
AACUACUGGAAACGGUGGCUAAUACCGCAUAACGUCGCAAGACCAAAGAGGGGGACCUUCGGGCCUCUUGCCAUCAGAUGUGCCCAGAUGGGAUUAGCUUGUUGGUGAGGUAAGGGCUCACCAAGGCGACGAUCCCUAGCUGGUCUGAGAGGAUGACCAGCCACACUGGAACUGAGACACGGUCCAGACUCCUACGGGAGGCAGCAGUGGGGAAUAUUGCACAAUGGGCGCAAGCCUGAUGCAGCCAUGCCGCGUGUAUGAAGAAGGCCUUCGGGUUGUAAAGUACUUUCAGCGGGGAGGAAGGUGUUGUGGUUAAUAACCGCAGCAAUUGACGUUACCCGCAGAAGAAGCACCGGCUAACUCCGUGCCAGCAGCCGCGGUAAUACGGAGGGUGCAAGCGUUAAUCGGAAUUACUGGGCGUAAAGCGCACGCAGGCGGUCUGUCAAGUCGGAUGUGAAAUCCCCGGGCUCAACCUGGGAACUGCAUUCGAAACUGGCAGGCUUGAGUCUUGUAGAGGGGGGUAGAAUUCCAGGUGUAGCGGUGAAAUGCGUAGAGAUCUGGAGGAAUACCGGUGGCGAAGGCGGCCCCCUGGACAAAGACUGACGCUCAGGUGCGAAAGCGUGGGGAGCAAACAGGAUUAGAUACCCUGGUAGUCCACGCCGUAAACGAUGUCUACUUGGAGGUUGUGCCCUUGAGGCGUGGCUUCCGGAGCUAACGCGUUAAGUAGACCGCCUGGGGAGUACGGCCGCAAGGUUAAAACUCAAAUGAAUUGACGGGGGCCCGCACAAGCGGUGGAGCAUGUGGUUUAAUUCGAUGCAACGCGAAGAACCUUACCUGGUCUUGACAUCCACAGAACAUUCCAGAGAUGGAUUGGUGCCUUCGGGAACUGUGAGACAGGUGCUGCAUGGCUGUCGUCAGCUCGUGUUGUGAAAUGUUGGGUUAAGUCCCGCAACGAGCGCAACCCUUAUCCUUUGUUGCCAGCGGUCCGGCCGGGAACUCAAAGGAGACUGCCAGUGAUAAACUGGAGGAAGGUGGGGAUGACGUCAAGUCAUCAUGGCCCUUACGACCAGGGCUACACACGUGCUACAAUGGCGCAUACAAAGAGAAGCGACCUCGCGAGAGCAAGCGGACCUCAUAAAGUGCGUCGUAGUCCGGAUUGGAGUCUGCAACUCGACUCCAUGAAGUCGGAAUCGCUAGUAAUCGUGGAUCAGAAUGCCACGGUGAAUACGUUCCCGGGCCUUGUACACACCGCCCGUCACACCAUGGGAGUGGGUUGCAAAAGAAGUAGGUAGCUUAACCUUCGGGAGGGCGCUUACCACUUUGUGAUUCAUGACUGGGGUGAAGUCGUAACAAGGUAACCGUAGGGGAACCUGCGGUUGGAUCACCUCCUUACCUUAAAGAA